AACGCACCUUGCGCUCCUUGGUAUUCCGAGGAGCAUGCCUGUUUGAGUGUCAUAUAAUUCUCAACCUUAUUAGCUUUUGCUGAUAAUGGCUUGGAUGGUGGGGGUUCUCUUUUGCUGGCUUCUUCAGAAGUCAGCUCCCCUUAAAUGCAUUAGCUGGUGCCCCGCGUGGACUGUCUAUUUGGUGUGAUAAUUAUCUACGCCGUGGAUGUUUGCAAUGGGUUGUGCACUGCUUCUAACUGUCUGUUCAUUCGGACAAAUACAUGACAAUUUGACCUCAAAUCAGGUAGGACUACCCGCUGAACUUAA
rnacentral:misc_RNA from 1 species